GGAAAAGAAAAAGUAAAGGACUAAAUUGUAAAGUUUAGUCACAUUUUGUAUCGAGUACUUAUCUAGUCACUCGGGGAUCAAAGGAAAUGUCGGAGGCCGAUCACACUAUCAAAGAAAUAACUCGGUAUAAUUAGACGUUUUGUUUUGUGUAUGGCAUGUAUAGAAACUUAGCCACUUUUGGUAUAAUAUGAACAAUGAAUGAUGUGUAAAUACUUGCUAGUGAUUAGCUAAUAAAAAUGGCCGAUGAUAUGCAUGUUUAUUAA